CCUACGGGGGGCAGCAGUGAGGAAUAUUGGUCAAUGGACGAGAGUCUGAACCAGCCAAGUAGCGUGAAGGAUGACUGCCCUAUGGGUUGUAAACUUCUUUUAUAUGGGAAUAAAAUGUUCCACGUGUGGAAUUUUGCAUGUACCAUAUGAAUAAGGAUAGGCUAACUCCGUGCCAGCAGCCGCGGUAAUACGGAGGAUCCGAGCGUUAUCCGGAUUUAUUGGGUUUAAAGGGAGCGUAGGUGGAUUGUUAAGUCAGUUGUGAAAGUUGGCGGCUCAACCGUAAAAUUGCAGUUGAAACUGGCAGUCUUGAGGACAGUAGAGGUGGGCGGAAGUCGUGGUGUAGCGGUGAAAUGCUUAGAUAUCACGAAGAACUCCGAUUGCGAAGGCAGCUCACUGGACUACAACUGACACUGAGGCUCGAAAGUGUGGGGAUCAAACAGGAUUAGAUACCCGAGUAGUC
rnacentral:rRNA from 1 species